CUCCAUCAAUUGUGCCAUCUAGCUGCCUCUCCAAAACAUCUUAGUAUAAACCUCUCGUGAAACAGGGACACACCAAAGAUUUCCUCAACCUCAGUUUCUACACCUGUUUACAAUGUUCCAGUGUUGUUGUUGUGGUUGUUCAGUCAUUCCAAUCCUGUCCCAGUCUUCUAUAACCCUCAGGACCGCUGUCCACGGAAUUAUCUUGGCAGUUUCUGGAGAGGUAUGUCCUUUCCUUCUCCAGUAGCAAACAGAUUAAGUGACUUGCCCAGGAUCAUACAACUAGAGUGUUUCCAAGGCCAGAAUUGAACUCAGAUUUUCCUGACUCCAAUCCCAGCCCUCUAUCCGCUGCACCACCCAGCUUCCCUUCAGUGUUACUACUCAAGGGUUUAAAAAAAAAAGAGAGGAAAGAGCAUUUUUCCCUUGAAAAUUAUGACCUUUCUUUACUUUCUCCUCUUCACAGACAUCAUCCUUCCUGCCCUGUAUCCCUGACUCACAUUCAGUUCAGGUGCAUGACUAUGCAUUAGUCCAGUGUGCAGAAAGUUCCAAGAUUUGAUGACCCACGGCUUCCACAGCUUCACUUUACUGAGUACUCUUGGCACAGAAGGAAGAAUCAGGAGAAGUUUAACACAAAGGAAUGAAUCAUAACAGUGGAAUUUCAGGUAUCAGGAGCAAGAGAUUUGGGGUCAUGGAGUGUUUGUCAAGUCAUCUUCCAACUCGGGUCAAAAGGACAAGAAAAUGGAAGGUUCUCGGAGACAUUGCUACAUCACUGGGGAUAAUGAGUUUCUAUUCCCAAAAAGCUAAAAUUUUGGAUGGAUUUAGCAACAGAUCAAAGGAGGACAGAUCACCAAUUUUCCAUUCUCUGUUGACAAAUUUGGUUAAAGACAAUGUAAUACUGCCCCCCUCAGUUGAGUCAGGGAGGGGCUUUGAGAGCUCUUGGUAGAUGUGCAGCCGCGUCUUGGGGGUGGGAGUGAGUGGGUGAAUGGGUGGGGGUAUGGGAGGGAUACACAUCUAUGUAUGUAUCUGUAAUCUGGUUAAAAUGAAUGUGUGUGAAAUUCUGAGUAAUUAUAUUGAUCUCUCUUGGUUCGAAAGAUCGGAUAAUGAAGCAUUUCUUCUUGGUAGAGAGACAGGGGAUGAUGGAACCAGAAUGCCACAUAUAUUCUCAGAUAUAUGGUCACUGGGUUUGUGGUUUAUGCUGACCGGAGGAUUCAAUACUACAGUUGGGGUGGGACAAGCUUUCUCAGAAGAUUAUUGAUGUAAAAAUUAAAG